UUCAGCCUGGACUGCAGCCAUAUCCUGUAAAAAAAAACAUUGUUUACUAAGACAACAUUUAUCAAAAAACGAGACAAUAUAGCUAAGUUUUUCCACCUUGGCCUGGAUAGAAGUGCUUCGCAGAAUCUACCACCGGAUCGGAAACGCGACCCACUGAGAAGAUCCGGCGAGAAACUCAGUGGGCUGAGUUUGUGGGUUAAUUUACUCGCCGAGCCCUUCGUCGCAAGCGACGGGUUUGACGAGAACGAUGACCGCUGCUUGAGGUAUCUAAAAACACCACACGGAAUUCAUAUACUGCCAGAAAGAUGGGAGAAAGUAGUCACUAGCGAUGGUCAAUACUGUGAAUAAAAUGUUUUUGUUCCUUUAAUUGAAAUAAAGCUUUUAUUUUCAAAACGAAACAGCGAGAACUUAAUAGCCUAAUAAAGUGAUGCUGAUAGACAAGUUUAUGGUUCCACCUUUAUGAAUGCAUCUAUUACUGAAUUGGUCACACAAUUCUUCCUAAGCAUACUCUAUAAAAAAAAUGUCUAGCAGUCUAUUUGAGCAAUUGACAAUUACAUCCUUGUCUCGUUUAGUAAACUCUUAUAUGCAGUAAACAUAAUUCAAAUUAUUUAAAGCUGUUGAAAUUUUCAGGUGAAAAGUGACAAAUUGUGUGUUUAUAAUAAUGACGUGGUUUGCACACUGAAUGAACUUACUCUUUCAUAUUAUUUUGGAACUGUGACUGCUGUAGCGAAUUAUUUAAGAAAGUAGUCGGUUCUCAGUCGUCUGCCAAGUAGUGAUAAUGUCUUCUUAUUUUUAUGAUUUUUUAUCUCAGUCUUACUACUUUUUCAGAAGGGUAUUUAUAAGAACAAUCCAUGCAGGAAGAGAUACAAGGCGAUUCAGUAAAAUUAUUAACAGUUCAGUAAAAAGCAUAGUAAAAUUAUUAAUUCAAUGAGCACAAACACUACUCACCUAAGUAAUUGUAAUUUAAUCCUUCAAACUCAAAAUAAUAUUUAAGAAAGA